rnacentral:rRNA from 1 species
UACGGGGGGGGCAAGCGUUGUUCGGAAUUACUGGGCGUAAAGGGCUCGUAGGUGGCCAACUAAGUCAGACGUGAAAUCCCUCGGCUUAACCGGGGAACUGCAUCUGAUACUGCAUCGCUUGAAUCCGGGAGAGGUGAGUGGAAUUCCGAGUGUAGAGGUGAAAUUCGUAGAUAUUCGGAAGAACACCAGUGGCGAAGGCGGCUCACUGGACCGGUAUUGACGCUGAGGUGCGAAAGCGUGGGGAGCAAACAGG